GGCCCCAAAAACCUACAACCACCAAUGCAUUUCCUUGUUUGCCCAGGAGUGUUGAAGAACAGACUGGCUGGAAGAAAGAGUCGGAGAUGGGAAACCUCUCCCAGGUGGCAGUUUGGCUUAAGUUAGCAUCCCUCCUCUGGACUCACCAUCCAACCCAGUUCUGAGUUUUACAAUGAUGCUGCUCUGGAAGUCCCAUUCAGAAAUGAACAUGAUGACUCUUCUAAGAAUAUCAAGCCCCAUGUUGUGCUGACUGCCACACCAAAUGGUGCCAAGUAAGUAAUGAAAUCUCAGACAAUACCCACCGACUGAACUGCCUUUGAAAUCAACUGAAAUGAACAGAAAUAAAAUCAGGAGUCAUUGGAGUACCAUCGCUUCCUGCAAAAGACCAAUUUCUUUUGGACACAAGUUCUAAAUUACAGUAUACUACAUUCUUGAAGUAAUCUUACCACUGUGUUGCUGGUAUAUGUUCUAUUAAAGUUACUUCUGUG